AGUGAACGCUGGCGGUAGGCCUAACACAUGCAAGUCGAACGGCAGCACAGUAAGAGCUUGCUCUUACGGGUGGCGAGUGGCGGACGGGUGAGGAAUACAUCGGAAUCUACUUUUUCGUGGGGGAUAACGUAGGGAAACUUACGCUAAUACCGCAUACGACCUACGGGUGAAAGCAGGGGAUCUUCGGACCUUGCGCGAUUGAAUGAGCCGAUGUCGGAUUAGCUAGUUGGCGGGGUAAAGGCCCACCAAGGCGACGAUCCGUAGCUGGUCUGAGAGGAUGAGGGGGGCAAAGUGGAGUGAGAGCAGGAGCAAACGCGUACGGGAGGCAGCGGGAGGGAGGUUUAGGCAAUGGAGGAAAGGAGGACAGAGCCACGCAGGGGGAGGAAAGAAAGUUUUAGGAUCGUAAACCUCUGUGGGGAGAGAAGAAAGAUGAUGAGAGUGGAAAAACCAUGAAGUGGCGGUAACUACAAAGAAAGGGACGGCUAAUUAGGUG
rnacentral:rRNA from 1 species